rnacentral:sRNA from 1 species
UUUUCAUUAUCUGUUU